UGUCAGCUCACACCACCGUCAGUGAG
rnacentral:piRNA from 1 species